rnacentral:rRNA from 1 species
CCCAACUUCUUAGAGGGACAAGUGGCGUUCAGCCACCCGAGAUUGAGCAAUAACAGGUCUGUGAUGCCCUUAGAUGUCCGGGGCUGCACGCGCGCUACACUGACUGGCUCAGCGUGUGCCUACCCUACGCCGGCAGGCGCGGGUAACCCGUUGAACCCCAUUCGUGAUGGGGAUCGGGGAUUGCAAUUAUUCCCCAUGAACGAGGAAUUCCCAGUAAGUGCGGGUCAUAAGCUUGCGUUGAUUAAGUCCCUGCCCUUUGUACACA